rnacentral:rRNA from 1 species
GCAGUGGGGAAUAUUGCGCAAUGGGGGCAACCCUGACGCAGCGACGCCGCGUGAGCGAUGACGGCCUUCGGGUUGUAAAGCUCUGUCAAGGGGGAAGAUAGUGACGGUACCCCUGGAGGAAGCCCCGGCUAACUACGUGCCAGCAGCCGCGGUAAAACGUAGGGGGCGAGCGUUGUCCGGAAUUACUGGGCGUAAAGGGCGUGUAGGCGGUGAGGAAAGUCAGCUGUGAAAACCCAGGGCUUAACCCUGGAACUGCAGUUGAAACUUCCUGACUUGAGUGCAGGAGAGGAGAGUGGAAUUCCCGGUGUAGCGGUGACAUGCGUAGAUAUCGGGAGGAACACCAGUGGCGAAGGCGACUCUCUGGCCUGUAACUGACGCUGAGGCGCGAAAGCGUGGGGAGCAAACUAGGAUUAGAUACCCUGGUAGUCCACGCCGUAAACGAUGGGUACUAGGUGUAGGGGGUUUAGAUACCCUUCUGUGCCGCAGUUAACACACU